rnacentral:lncRNA from 10 species
UGUCCUCUCCCAGCUAAGUCCGUGUGGUUUGAGAGGGACGAACUGCACCCCAGAUCUCGAUUUAGACACGACCCCAUUUAUGCCAAGGAGAGUCAAACCCAGGAUUUUGUGGGCGUGGAAAACCUCUCAGCUUGCCAUCACCACGUACUUCAUGACAAAAACAAGAGCAAUCAGGCAGUAAUCCCCUGUUUUCAGACAGGCUGCAGUGAGCUGUGGUCGCACAAGGCUGCAGUGAGCUAUGGUGGCGCCAGGCUGCAGUGAGCUAUGAUUUCACCAAGGUGCAAUGUGGCUGUUACCACAGCUACCCAUUUCCCAGCUGGCGUGUCCAGGCUCACCAUGGGUGAUGCGCCCCUUCCCACCAGAGGCCUGUUCUUUUCUGGGGCCAGAAUCCCACCCCCUCUUGCUCUUCCAAAGGGCCUCACUCCUAAAAUUAUUCCCUCUGCCUUCUGCAUCCUCAGCUUCUCGCCCUCCACUGGAUCAUUUCUCUCACGUAUAUUAGCAUGCAAACACUCUCUAGCAUGGCAUCUCCCAUUAAACAAAACUCCUGACCCCACUUCCCCACCUUAACUACCACCACAUUUCCCUGGCCUGCUGCAUAGCAAAAAAAUUUAAGUGCUCUCUAUUAUUGCUGUCUCCAUUGUCUUUCCUCACUCACUCACUCCAAUCAAGAGCCCAUCUCCAGCUCACUCCUACAACAGCACUGGUAAGGUUAUUGGUGGCCUCCCUUUUGCCAAAGCUGAUGUCGAUUUCUGUGGUCUUGUGUCGCUAUGUUUUUGUGUUUUGGGCAUCAUUUGAUUUCACUACUCCAUCUUUUCUCUUCUUUCCUUUUUUUUUUUUUCUUUUGAGAGACAGGACCUUACUCUGUCGCCCAGGCUGGAGUGCAGUGGUGUGAUCAUAGCUCAGUACAGCCUGGCAGCUCACUCCUGGCCUCAAGCAAUCCUUCCACUUUGGCCUCUGGCAUUACUCCCAGCUCCAUCCUUCUUGAAACACUUCUCUAGGUUUCCUAAUCAACUCAGUCUUCUUCCUGGCUCCUUCUCCC